UCAAUUUGAGCAUCAUAGUUCUGUCAUGACAAGGCAUAAAUUUCCACGAAGACGUACUACAGCUAUUCCUCUCAGAAACUCUCAUGGCACGUGCAACAAGUUUGACUUAGAAUAUAAAGACCCACCUAACGUCAGCUGUAAAAUACAUGGCUGGUCUUUCCACUGCUGAGCUGCUCUGGAUGUCUGGCUUCAGUCAGGAGGUCAUCCUGCCGGAUGACGUGGUGAAGCAGCUGAGUGAGAUCCCGGGGAUUUGGGAGCUGGCCGCAGAAAUGGGCUUCACCCUCCCAUCAACCCCUCAGGCCUCACAGGAGAUCAAUCAGACACACACAACAGCAGAUUUAAUGCGGAGAAAUUGUGAGGAGAAAAAUGAAGUACUAAGAACCACCACAACACCUCUGGACACCAGCAAACAAAUUAAAACAGUGCCUACGACUGCAAAGUACCUUGCCUAUGUGGUGGGUAUAGCUGCAUUAUUGGCAAUUUGGUUGUUAUUUUUCUAAAUCAAUACACCGAGUUUGUGUGAAACAUGGCUGUUUACAUGGUUUGUCC